UAUUGAAAAGAAGGGUGGCUAUAUUGGUCACUGAAUAUUUCAUGAAGUGUUUAUUUGUACAUUUUGAGUUGUUUAUUUUUUAUUCUUACUCUAGGAAAUGAAAAUAAACAAGUGGAGUGGGAAAAUGUUAGUUUUUUAUUUAGUUGCAUAAUAAUUCUGCACACCAAUAGUUGCCUAAUAAUUCUGCACACAUAGAUUUUCUCCUGAGAAAGCCAAAACUCACUUUCCCUUUUUUAAAUAUUCAGGUUUGAGGUUUAUUAACAUUUUUGAUUGACUGAGAUCAUUGUAUUUGUUCAAAAAUACAAUUAAUCCUCAGAUAUACAACUUGCCUAAUAAUUUUGCACACAGUGUACAUGUGAUGUGUC